rnacentral:lncRNA from 1 species
GUAGUUUUAGGGUCUAAUGAUGGUCCUAACUCAAUUUUUUUUUUUUUUUAAUUUUUGAAAAAAAUAUGCCUUGUUAUAGCCUUACUUUUGAUUUUGUGUGUGAUUUUUGUUUUUUGUCAUUUUUUGUGCCUUACUGCUUUCUUAGCCCUGUUUAAGUAUGUGCAUUAUAUUUGCAGUAGUUUUUAGGGUCUAAUGUUGGUCCUAACUCAAUUUCUUUUCUUUUACAAUUUUGAAAAAAUAUGUUUUGU